rnacentral:rRNA from 1 species
GUGUCAGCCGCCGCGGUAAUACGAACCGUCCAAACGUUAUUCGGAAUCACUGGGCUUACAGAGUUCGUAGGCGGCGGAGAAAGUAGGGUGUGAAAGCCCUCGGCCUAACCGAGGAAUUGCGCCCUAAACUACUUCGCUCGAGGAGGCUAGAGGUGAGCAGAACUGAUGGUGGAGCGGUGAAAUGCGUUGAUAUCAUCAGGAAUACCGGAGGCGAAAGCGGCUCACUGGGACCUUUCUGACGCUGAGGAACGAAAGCUAGGGGAGCGAACGGGAUUAGAAACCCUCGUAGUCC